rnacentral:misc_RNA from 1 species
AAGUCGUAACAAGGUCUCCGUUGGUGAACCAGCGGAGGGAUCAUUACCGAGUUCUUUACUCAUCACCCUUUGUGAACCAUUAUACCUGUUGCUUCGGCGGCGCGCCUCCCCCGGGAGCGUGCCCGCCGGUCUCAUCAGCAUCUCUGUUUGAACCCGACGUUACCUCUGAGUGUUCUAAGCGAACUAUCAAAACUUUCAACAACGGAUCUCUUGGCUCUA